AGCGAACGCUGGCGGCAGGCUUAACACAUGCAAGUCGAGCGGGCGUAGCAAUACGUCAGCGGCAGACGGGUGAGUAACGCGUGGGAACGUACCUUUUGGUUCGGAACAACACAGGGAAACUUGUGCUAAUACCGGAUAAGCCCUUACGGGGAAAGAUUUAUCGCCGAAAGAUCGGCCCGCGUCUGAUUAGCUAGUUGGUGAGGUAACGGCUCACCAAGGCGACGAUCAGUAGCUAGUCUGAGAGGAUGAUCAGCCACAUUGGGACUGAGACACGGCCCAAACUCCUACGGGAGGCAGCAGUGGGGGAAUAUUGGACAAU
rnacentral:rRNA from 1 species